UACGUAGGGGCCGAGCGUUGUCCGGAGUUACUGGGCGUAAAGGGCGCGUAGGCGGCCGGAGAAGUCGGUGGUGAAAGCUCGGGGCUCAACUCCGAGUCGGCCACCGAUACUGUUCGGCUCGAGUUUGGUAGAGGCAGACGGAAUUCCGGGUGUAGCGGUGGAAUGCGUAGAGAUCCGGAAGAACACCGGUGGCGAAGGCGGUCUGCUGGGCCAAGACUGACGCUGAGGCGCGACAGCGUGGGGAGCAAACAGG
rnacentral:rRNA from 1 species